rnacentral:rRNA from 1 species
UUAAUUGAAGAGUUUGAUCAUGGCUCAGAUUGAACGCUGGCGGCAGGCCUAACACAUGCAAGUCGAGCGGUAACAGAAAGUAGCUUGCUACUUUGCUGACGAGCGGCGGACGG